UUAACUAUUUAAUAGUACUCAGACGACACUAACAUUCAGAGUUUAGGGGUCCUCUGGCGGGCACGCUGGACGCGAAUCCAGGCGCGCUGAGCGCGCGGCCCGCCAAAGCAACAUUCUAUAAUGAUACACAAGGGUGGGAGAUCUACCCCGAAGGGCAUGAACUCUGUAAUGAUCCUUCCGCAGGUUCACCUACGGAAA
rnacentral:misc_RNA from 1 species